UAUAUGACUCUCGGCAAUGGAUAUCUCGGCUCUUGCAUCGAUGAAGAGCGCAGCGAAAUGCGAUACGUGGUGCGAAUUGCAGAAUCCCGCGAACCAUCGAGUCUUUGAACGCAAGUUGCGCCCGAGGCCAACCGGCUGAGGGCACGUCCGCCUGGGCGUCAAAC
rnacentral:rRNA from 1 species